CAGUAGCCGCGGGAAUACGAAGGGGGCUAGCGUUGUUCGGAUUUACUGGGCGUAAAGCGCACGUAGGCGGACUUUUAAGUCAGGGGUGAAAUCCCGGGGCUCAACCCCGGAACUGCCUUUGAUACUGGGAGUCUUGAGUUCGAGAGAGGUGAGUGGAAUUGCGAGUGUAGAGGUGAAAUUCGUAGAUAUUCGCAGGAACACCAGUGGCGAAGGCGGCUCACUGGCUCGAUACUGACGCUGAGGUGCGAAAGCGUGGGGAGCAAACAGGAUUAGAUACCCGAGUAGUCCCUGUCUCUUAUAC
rnacentral:rRNA from 1 species